AAGGCUAAAUACUCCUGACUGACCGAUAGUGAACCAGUACCGUGAGGGAAAGGCGAAAAGAACCCCGGCGAGGGGAGUGAAAAAGAACCUGAAACCGUGUACGUACAAGCAGUGGGAGCCUCUUUUAUGGGGUGACUGCGUACCUUUUGUAUAAUGGGUCAGCGACUUAUAUUCUGUAGCAAGGUUAACCGAAUAGGGGAGCCGAAGGGAAACCGAGUCUUAACCGGGCGUUAAGUUGCAGGGUAUAGACCCGAAACCCGGUGAUCUAGCCAUGGGCAGGUUGAAGGUUGGGUAACACUAACUGGAGGACCGAACCGACUAAUGUUGAAAAAUUAGCGGAUGACUUGUGGCUGGGGGUGAAAGGCCAAUCAAACCGGGAGAUAGCUGGUUCUCCCCGAAAGCUAUUUAGGUAGCGCCUCGUGAAUUCAUCUCCGGGGGUAGAGCACUGUUUCGGCAAGGGGGUCAUCCCGACUUACCAACCCGAUGCAAACUGCGAAUACCGGAGAAUGUUAUCACGGGAGACACACGGCGGGUGCUAACGUCCGUCGUGAAGAGGGAAACAACCCAGACCGCCAGCUAAGGUCCCAAAGUCAUGGUUAAGUGGGAAACGAUGUGGGAAGGCCCAGACAGCCAGGAUGUUGGCUUAGAAGCAGCCAUCAUUUAAAGAAAGCGUAAUAGCUCACUGGUCGAGUCGGCCUGCGCGGAAGAUGUAACGGGGCUAAACCAUGCACCGAAGCUGCGGCAGCGACACUGUGUGUUGUUGGGUAGGGGAGCGU
rnacentral:rRNA from 1 species